CUCAGGACCAGAGCAGAGAUGAAGGGAUACUGGGCUGAGCUGCAAAGCAGGAUGCCAGUAGGAAGUGCUGGCAAGUUUAAGGGCCGGACCUCCACCCCCUGUGUUGGAUACUGUAAGGGAUUGUUCGCCUCUGCUACAAUAAGAACAUCUACAGGUGUCAGUGACCUGAGGAGACAUGUUCACAUGCACAAUGAGCAUGAAGAUGCAACAGCCAAAAACACAACAGAAUAAAAGGACACAAACUUCAUGCUGCUCACCUCUUCUGGAAACUAUUGUACUCUUUGGCCCGUCUCCUCUUUAUUUCCUCCAGCUCAGAGGCCUCAAAGGCAG